rnacentral:rRNA from 1 species
GACGAACGCUGGCGGCGUGCCUAAUACAUGCAAGUCGAGCGCGGGAAGCAAGCGGAUCCCCUUCGGGGGUGACGCUUGUGGAACGAGCGGCGGACGGGUGAGUAACACGUGGGCAACCUGCCUGUAAGACUGGGAUAACCCCGGGAAACCGGGGCUAAUACCGGAUAACACCGGACUCCACAUGGAGUCCUGUUGAAAGAUGGCUUCUCGCUAUCACUUACAGAUGGGCCCGCGGCGCAUUAGCUAGUUGGUGAGGUAACGGCUCACCAAGGCGACGAUGCGUAGCCGACCUGAGAGGGUGAUCGGCCACACUGGGACUGAGACACGGCCCAGACUCCUACGGGAGGCAGCAGUAGGGAAUCUUCCGCAAUGGACGAAAGUCUGACGGAGCAACGCCGCGUGAACGAUGAAGGUCUUCGGAUCGUAAAGUUCUGUUGUCAGGGAAGAACAAGUGCCGUGCGAAUAGAGCGGCACCUUGACGGUACCUGACGAGGAAGCCCCGGCUAACUACGUGCCAGCCGCCGCGGUAACAC